AGGACAGAUGGACAGGCUUCUGCUGCAUGCUCUUCCCAGAUAGCAAAAAAUAUCUGCACAGCUUCUUUUUGCCGCCGGCCCUAAGCUGUCGGCUAUAGGUGCCUCCUGCUGGCGGGGAUGAAACAUUUGCCGCAGAAUACGUCACUCCCAUUUCUUGCGAGAUGCCGACUGCUUCAUUUUCUCUGGCGGUUGCCUCGGUCUAAUUGACCGCUGUCGUCCGGCGGCAAGACGCUUUUAAAUACAAGGCUACUCUCAAAAUCGACCGGCCAUGUUGGUUUGGACACACAUUCGCAUCAGUUCGUCGCUCAAUCGCGAGUUACAGCCUGCAGCUUGCUAGCUAGCAAAGUCAUCGACUACAAUCGUUUAAGUAAGUACUUAUAUUAUGUUUACAUUGUUUUUAGUUUAUAUAUUUAAAAUGUGUAGUCAUCUUUGUUCUUGCCUAACUAGCUAAAGUAGCCUUGUUUACGCAAUGUUGCUAGUACAUGUAGAAUUUUUACGAACUAUAAUAGGUAGCAAAAGCUUUACAUCUAGAAAGACUAAGUUUAACUUUUAGUGUUUUCUUACCAAAAUAACGAUGUAUAUAUGUUGUUUAAAUUAUUUUUUUUGCCUAAACAAGUAUGCUGCUAGUCCAGUAGCUAGAGCAGCUAGUAAGUGUUAGCUAGCACAUGCGGUUUUGCCUUUGUUACAGUACACACUGUGGCUAGCAAGUUUUGUGCUAUGUUGCUACUGUACUGGAUUUAAGGCGAUUAUGAUUUCUAAUUCUCUGAACUGCUGUACUUUUUAUGUUUGAGGAAAAUUCUGUGUUCACUUGAAUCACAACACUCAGUGAAUACAUUUUAUUUUUAACAAUUUCACUGUGCCACAUUUGGCUGAUGAUGUUUCCCCCCCACAGCAUAGCUACUGUAUAUUCCUAACGUUAACAAUCCGGUUUUGUUUACGUUUAAUGGGCAGAUACCUUGGCCAGAGCAUUACUGGUUAUCUUCACCCAAGAGACCUACUAUUGAUCAAUUGUUUUGGCUUUAAAGAAGUUGCAUCGAUUCCAGUAAACCAGGAAAAUGUUGAGCCAUCUGUAGACUUCAGAGCUGAACCAGGUUUCUCCCCAGUAAUCCAGACUCCACUUCACAGAGCCAAGAGUUUGAGUACAACUCGUCAAGUACUAAGCUUUACACCACCAGCAGCAAAUUUACCCUGGCAGCAUAUGGGUGAAAACGCUGGAGGAGAAAGUCAUCGUUUUGUUAUUGGCCCUUGGACGCCCCUGGCAUCUCGUGUACAGCACAAAGUUUUCAGCUAUGAAGAUUUCCAGAGACUCCAGAAUGAAAAUCAAGCCCUGAGGGAAUGCAAUGCACAAGCAGCUUCGGAUGACAGUGGCUCACUUCAGGAGCAGGUGAAGCAAGUAGGGACAAUGUUGAAGACGUUUGCUCUCACUGGGCAAUCAGUUUUUCUGUAGGUGCGUUACCUGAAAGGAGCAUCUGGCCGUGAAGGCAGAAAAAGGCGCCGCACAGCUGAGAAGGACCCACAGCCGACCCCUUAAACCUAGGCUGACUACUGACACCCCAGCAUCACUGAACUGGAACACUUUCUUUAUCCUGCAGUCAGUAACAUCAAGAAGCCAGAAGUGCCAGAGUACACUCACCAAAUCCACCCUGUUUUUUUUUUGUAUUUUAACUUUAGUGUUGGGUUAUUUCAUUCCGUCUUAACGAUUCUAUUAUCGUUUGUAAAUCCUAUUUCAUACCUGUUACUUGAUAUGGCACAUUAACUAGUACCAAAAUUCUACUUUCAUUUCAUCAGUGUGCUUAACUGUUAUUCUAUUAAUAAUAGCUUGGAAAUACUAUUUCAAACCUCUGAUACUUGAUAUUGCACAUUACCUGGUACCAAAUAUUCUACUUACUCUGUUUUUAACAUCAGCAUUUUUCAUUCCAUCACAGUGCUUAACUGUUAUUCUAUUGUUAAAUAUAGCUUGUAAAUCCUCGUGCCACAGGUCAGCAUUGUAGUUAUAAUGGUUUGUUCUACUACUGUUUUUACCUCCGUAUUUUUAUAUAAAUAUGUCAAGUUUUAUUUAUCACAGAUACAAGAGACACAGAUCUUAUUGCAGCACGGUGUAAAUCUUGUGCUCCAGGUCAGCAAUGCCAUUAUAAUGGUCUAUUCUAGAGCUUUACUCUAAAUUAUUACCACUUUUCCUAUUGUUAGAAAUGGCUUGAAAAUUUGAUGUUAUACCUCGAUUUAUUUGGUAUCCUGCACAUUCUUUGGUACCAAAUAUCCUCAUUACUUGUUAUGUUUACUGGUAAUUUCAUCCCAGAGCUGACCUCUUUAUAUUAUUAACAAUUAUUGUGUUUGUGUUAUAAUUUGCUUGUAUGGCUGUUUUUUUUUAACCAAAAUUUAAUUGGAAACCUGCAUGUUCUGUAGUGUGUAUUUAUAUGUAUAUUUUUUUCUGCCU
ensembl:lncRNA